rnacentral:rRNA from 1 species
CAAAUUUCUGCCCUAUCAACUUUCGAUGGUAAGAGUAGUGGUCUACCAUGGUUUCAACGGGUAACGGGGAAUUAGGGUUCUAUUCCGGAGAGGGAGCCUGAGAAACGGUACCACAUCCAAGGAAGGCAGCAGGCGUGCAAAUUACCCAAUCCCGACACGGGGAGGUAGUGACAAUAAAUACUGAUACAGGGCUCUUUUGGGUCUUGCUAAUUGGAAUGAGUCACAAUUUAAAUCCCUUAACGAGGAACAAUUGGAGGGCAAGUCUGGUGCCAGCAGCCGCGGUAAUUCCAGCUCCAAUAGCGUAUAUUUAAAGUUGUUGCAGUUAAAAAGCUCGUAGUUGAACCUUGGGCCUGGCUGGCCGGUCCGCCUCACCGGUGCACUGGUCCGGCCGGGCCUUUCCUUCUGGGGAGCCGAUGCCCUUCACUGGGUGUGUCGGGG